rnacentral:rRNA from 1 species
UACAGAGGGUGCAAGCGUUAAUCGGAAUUACUGGGCGUAAAGCGUGUGUAGGUGGUUUGCUAAGUCAGGUGUGAAAUCCCUGGGCUCAACCCAGGAACUGCAUUUGAUACUGGCGGACUAGAGUGUGGUAGAGGAUGGUGGAAUUCCCGGUGUAGCGGUGAAAUGCGUAGAUAUCGGGAGGAACAUCAGUGGCGAAGGCGGCCAUCUGGACUAACACUGACACUGAGACACGAAAGCGUGGGGAGCAAACAGG